GCCUUCGUGGUGUAGAGGUCAGCUCGUUGGGCGUGUAUUCCAGAGGUCUAUGGUUCGAGUCCCGGCGAAGGCG
rfam:Stegodyphus mimosarum contig113999, whole genome shotgun sequence.